rnacentral:rRNA from 1 species
CCAGACUCCUACGGGAGGCAGCAGUGGGGAAUAUUGCACAAUGGGGGAAACCCUGAUGCAGCGACGCCGCGUGAGUGAAGAAGUAUUUCGGUAUGUAAAGCUCUAUCAGCAGGGAAGAUAAUGACGGUACCUGAGUAAGAAGCCCCGGCUAACUACGUGCCAGCAGCCGCGGUAAUACGUAGGGGGCAAGCGUUAUCCGGAUUUACUGGGUGUAAAGGGAGCGUAGACGGCAUGGCAAGUCUGAAGUGAAAGCCCGGGGCUCAACCGCGGGACUGCUUUGGAAACUGUUAAGCUGGAGUGCAGGAGAGGUAAGUGGAAUUCCUAGUGUAGCGGUGAAAUGCGUAGAUAUUAGGAAGAACACCAGUGGCGAAGGCGGCUUGCUGGACAGUAACUGACGUUGAGGCUCGAAAGCGUGGGGAGCAAACAGGAUUAGAUACCCUCGUA